GCCGGUCCUCGGUAGUGGCCCCCGGACACAGCGCACAGCGCACACGGUUCCGGGUGCUUCGAUCGAAGACCGGC
rfam:Streptomycetaceae bacterium MP113-05 genomic scaffold scaffold00017, whole genome shotgun sequence.